AUGGUGAAGAUCCGGCAAUUUUUGUUGGCUAUUUCGUGGCUUCAGCUAAGCUGUGUAAGUGCCGCCAAAAAUGAAGUGGAGCAGAGUCCUCAGGACCUGACUGCCCAGGAAGGAGAAUUGAUCACAAUCAACUGCAGUUACUCGGUAGGAACAAAUGCCUUACACUGGCUGCAACAGCAUCCAGGAGGAGGCAUUGUUUCCUUGUUUAUGCUGAGCUCAGGGAAGAAGAAGAAUGGAAGAUUAAUUGCCACAAUAAACAUACAGGAAAAGCACAGCUCCCUGCACAUCACAGCCUCCCAGCCCAGAGACUCUGCCAUCUACAUCUGUGCUGACUGUGUGAAUUAUGGAGGAGGCCAAGGAAAUCUCAUCUUUGGAAAAGGCACUAAACUCUCUGUUGAACCAAGUAAGUGUUGGGGAUUCAAAGUCCUGAUUUAUCAUCAGUACUUUGUCACUCUGGGCAACAGAAUGAAAGGGCUCUCAAAUAGAGAACAGAGAGUCCUGAAUACUCAGAUAACUUUUCCAGAGUGAUAUGUGUUAUGUGUAAUGGGAUGAAGUGGUCUAGAAUGACCUUCCAAUGACUGUUUUGGAGACACACUAAGGAAAUCUGCUUAACAUCCUAUACCCUUAACUUGUUAGAACAUUGGUGAAGUAAAAGCAGUAAGUGCAACUAAAGUACAAUGCAGAGUGAGUGAGAAGAGACUUGCCAACUCCUUUCUCUGUGAUAUCUUCCCCCCACCUUCACCCUUGAACCCUUGCUCCUGUCCAUGCCCCUGUCUGUUCCCAGUCCAGACCAGCACGUCCUUCUGCUGGACAUAGGAAAACUCCAGACUUCAUAACAUGUCACAGGGCCCCCUUCCUCAGAUGGCAGAUCUCAAUGUUGAUCACCUACCUCACUGUGGGGAGUGGUGACCUUGUCAGCAAUGGUCUCCUGGAAGAGGGAAGCUUUAUUUACAUCAUCGAGGGCCCAUGGGUGACCCACAGUCUGUGUGACUGCGGUGUGAUUGGUUUUCAGACAUUAGCUUUAA